CUAGUGGUACAGCAGUUAGCACAUGAACUUGGUCAGGGUUGGAAGACAGCAGCCAUAAGUGAUUCUAAUUGCGUGUACCGCUUUUUA
rfam:Bulleidia extructa W1219 contig00009, whole genome shotgun sequence.